GGAAGCUCUCCACUGGAGCUGAAAGUGAUUCUCAGUCUCACUUCUUGUUCGCUAGUGCCUAUCAUAUCACCUAUGCGUCAGGACGGAGCUUGUACUAAUGUUGGGUUAUGCAUACGAAGCGAAUUAUGUUAGUCUCUGAUUAUUCUUUAAGAGCCUUCAAGUGUUU